AUUGAACGCUGGCGGCAGGCCUAACACAUGCAAGUCGAACGCGUGGCGGACGGGUGAGUAAUGUCUGGGAAACUGCCCGAGGGAGGGGGAUAACUACUGGAAACGGUAGCUAAUAACGCAUACCAUCGGAUGUGCCCAGAUGGGAUGAGCUAGUAGGUGGGGUAACGGCACACCUAGGAGACGAUCCCUAGCUGGUCUGAGAGGAGGACCAGCAACACUUGAACUUAGACACGGGCCAAAGUCAGACGGGAGGCAGCAGUGGGGAAUAAUGCACAAUGGGCGCAAGCCUGAUGCAGCCAUGCCGCGUGUAUGAAGAAGGCCUGCGGGGUGUAAAGUACUUUCAGCGGGGAGGCGUUACUCGCAGAAGAAGCACCGGCUAACUCCGUGCCAGCAGCCGCGGUAAUUC
rnacentral:rRNA from 1 species